rnacentral:rRNA from 1 species
GGAAGUAAAAGUCGUAACAAGGUCUCCGUAGGUGAACCUGCGGAGGGAUCAUUACUGAGUGAGGGCCUUCGGGCUCGACCUCCAACCCUUUGUGAACACAACUUGUUGCUUCGGGGGCGACCCUGCCGUUUCGACGGCGAGCGCCCCCGGAGGCCUUCAAACACUGCAUCUUUGCGUCGGAGUUUAAGUAAAUUAAACAAAACUUUCAACAACGGAUCUCUUGGUUCUGGCAUCGAUGAAGAACGCAGCGAAAUGCGAUAAGUAAUGUGAAUUGCAGAAUUCAGUGAAUCAUCGAAUCUUUGAACGCACAUUGCGCCCCUUGGUAUUCCGAGGGGCAUGCCUGUUCGAGCGUCAUUUCACCACUCAAGCCUCGCUUGGUAUUGGGCGCCGCGGUGUUCCGCGCGCCUCAAAGUCUCCGGCUGAGCUGUCCGUCUCUAAGCGUUGUGAUUUCAUUAAUCGCUUCGGAGCGCGGGCGGUCGCGGCCGUUAAAUCUUUCACAAGGUUGACCUCGGAUCAGGUAGGGAUACCCGCUGAACUUAAGCAUAUCAAUAAGCGGAGGAA